rnacentral:lncRNA from 1 species
UUAUUCUCUGUAUUCCAUUCACACGUUGGUGUCCUUACCAUGACAGCCAACAUGGGUGCUAAUUAGCAGCUACACUCCUGCUGGCAGGUUGUGUGGGCACCCAUCAGGUAGCACCUGACCUGAAUUUAAUUAGCAUCACCAAUUAAGCGCUUUGUUAUUUGCACUGCAGUAACGCCAUGAGGUCCUAGCUAGUGCUGGGAGCCAAGUACACAGAAUUGAGAGAGGCAGUCUGUGGAAAAUAUGUUAGGACCCUGAGGGCACUAAUAAACCUUAGUCACCCUGACCAGCCUCACCUGGGACCCACAUCCCUGGGCCCAAGGGAUCUAUUUAAGCUCAAGCCAGGGGGCUUAGCCCUUCCUAAGCUUAUGCUGUGGAUGUGUCUGCUCUUGGUUUUGCUGCAGAUUUUGUUUUAUGGAUGGACUUGGCUCUGUCCUGUAGGUAAAUUGUUUCUGGGUUGGUCUCUUGGAUGGACUUUGGACCUAUGCUGUUGCCUUAUUUCUGGCUCUGCCUCCUUUUUUUCCUGGGUGGAUUCCUUGGAUGGUCUCUGGACCCUAUUUAUUGCCUUGCUUUGUCUGGGACUGUUGGUGGAGCCUCUGAUCUGUCUGCAGUCAGGAAGAGAUGCAGCCCUCAGCAGCCUUCGUUCCCCAGGAUGGACAGAAAGAAAUGGUGGAGCUAUGUGUGAUUUUCUCAUCUCUCAGGUUCACUGGUGUUUCCUAAUGGUGCUCCUGGCCUUGAAGAUGCCAGAUAAUCCAUUCACUGGAAAGGGUAUUGAUGCUGGCCUAUUUGUUAGAGAGAAGAGGUCACUGGAAACACUGAAGGGAAAAGUUCAGACUGCAGCAAAAAUGGGAGACUGUGAGAACACCAUUGUGCUGUUAUGUGCCUGAGCAUAUUAGGACUGGGGCAGCUACUGGGCAUGACUUGGCUGUAUGCAGAAGGCAAGGCAGCUAUUCAGAGAGGUUCAAUUAGCGAAGUCAUAGCUAUACUCUCUGUGAGCAUUCAUUGUGAAGCUUGCAAGCUCUGUGCAAAUAAGCCUCCAAAAUAUUGGAGCUUCAUGACUUGCAAAAGAAAGCCCAGAUUGGCUUUCUGAUAUUUAAUAGGUCCCUGAAUUUUGUCUUUCUGGCCUCGCAAAUAAUUUCAUAGUUACAACUUAUCCGAUGCUGUUUCGGCAUGCCUGAAUUGCACAAACAAUGCUU